UGGGGAAUCUUGCGCAAUGGGCGAAAGCCUGACGCAGCAACGCCGCGUGCGGGAUGAAGGCCCUCGGGUCGUAAACCGCUUUCAGCAGGGAUGAAACUGACAGUACCUGCAGAAGAAGCCCCGGCUAACUACGUGCCAGCAGCCGCGGUAAUACGUAGGGGGCAAGCGUUAUCCGGAUUCAUUGGGCGUAAAGAGCGCGUAGGCGGCUUGUUUAGUCAGAUGUGAAAACCGGGGGCUCAACCCGCGGCCUGCAUCUGAAACUGACAGGCUUGAGUCUGGUAGAGGAAAGUGGAAUUCCUGGUGUAGCGGUGAAAUGCGCAGAUAUCAGGAGGAACACCAGUGGCGAAGGCGGCUUUCUGGGCCACGACUGACGCUGAGGCGCGAAAGCUAGGGGAGCGAACAG
rnacentral:rRNA from 1 species